rnacentral:rRNA from 1 species
UACGUAGGGUGCAAGCGUUAAUCGGAAUUACUGGGCGUAAAGGGUGCGCAGGCGGUUCUGUAAGUCAGAUGUGAAAUCCCCGGGCUUAACCUGGGAACUGCGUUUGAAACUGCAGAGCUAGAGUGCGGCAGAGGGAGGUGGAAUUCCAUGUGUAGCAGUGAAAUGCGUAGAGAUAUGGAAGAACAUCGAUGGCGAAGGCAACCUCCUGGGCUAGCACUGACGCUCAUGCACGAAAGCGUGGGGAGCAAACAGG